rnacentral:ncRNA from 1 species
AACAAAACGAUGACAGAGAAGAGUAGUUUAUGAUUGGCCCAUAUCAGGGAAUAAAUGCCUUAGACUGAAAGCAUUUUAUGGGACUAAUGUAAAUGAAUUCACCUCUUGAGUUGACACUUGGACCAUAAAGUAUGUAUGUAAAGGUGUUCCGGUUUUUACCGUUAUGGAAAUGAAGUGAGCUAUGUACGUUAUUUUACAUAGUUAACAAGGGUGGUAACGCGAAUUCAAACUCGUCCCUUUU